UACGGAGGGUGCGAGCGUUGUCCGGAAUCAUUGGGCGUAAAGGGCGCGUAGGUGGCGGGACAAGCGUGCGGUGAAAGCCUGGGGCUCAACCCCGGGUCGGCCGUGCGAACUGUUUUGCUUGAGCACUGUAGAGGCAGGCGGAAUUCCGGGUGUAGCGGUGGAAUGCGUAGAGAUCCGGAAGAACACCGGUGGCGAAGGCGGCCUGCUGGGCAGUAGCUGACACUGAGGAGCGAAAGCGUGGGUAGCGAACAGG
rnacentral:rRNA from 1 species